rnacentral:lncRNA from 1 species
CUCUCUCUCUCUCUCUCGCUCUCUCCACAUCGGUCUCUCUUUCCUCUCUAUCGCUCAGCUCUGGAAACGCCUCAAUUUUUCCAAUAGUCCGCUCGUUGCCAUUGGGUUUAAACCCUAAAUUUUGCUCAAAUUCCACGUCUCCCAGGAUCAGUUUCCAGCUCGGGAAAUGGUGGCCUGCAAUCUAAACUGUGAGUUGAAGAAAGCUUUGUCUCCUUCACCCUCUCUCUGCACUUGCUUGAAACCCUAACCUGCUCGUCUUAGAUGCGAAUUGCGUUAGAACUCGACGCCGGGGUGUUUGGAUGGGGCAGCUUGUUAGCUGUUUUUUUUUCUCUGGUGCUUUUAGGGGAUAUUUUGUGCUACCGAGGAGGCUGGUGAUGGGUUUGGAAAUUGGGUGCUCUUUUCUCGAUCUUGUGCUUAUGUGGU